CUGUGAUAGGGCAGCAGAGUCACAAUGCAAAGACCCACACAUUCUCUCUCAGUGCCAGGUCACUGCUGGGGGAUGGGAAAGGGUUGGUGUUAGGAAUUCAAGACUGUCUUUCCUACCCUCUUCAGUGCCUCUUUCUGUAACAGGAAGCUAAAACCAAGAUCCCUUUUUGACCAAAGAGAAACCACAAGGUACUUAUAAGCCCUGUGAGCUUGAACAGGAAAUGGGAAUUUGGGUCAAUAACUUUGAUGGAAUCAUGUCAGCUACUGGCAAGGAUAUGAAUGAACCAGCCAAUUUUGGGACAGGCCAGCAACCAAGAUGUGAAGAGAAUACUCUAAACUACCCACCUUAUGUACCUGAGAUGGGGUUUCACCCUACUGCCCAGGCUGGUCUAGAACUCCUAGGCUCAAGAGAUCCACCCAACUGAGACUCACCUGCCCUACCUGCUGGGAUUACAGAGACAAGGAGGGCCUAGUCACAAGUACAGUGGAGCAAUUAUAGCUAACUGAAGUCUUGAAUUCCUGGGCUCAAGAAAUUCUCCCAUCUUGGCAUCCUAGUGUUGAGAUUACAGGCAUGAGCCACUCCACAUGGCUGAAGCAUUUUUAAUAUUUCAC
rnacentral:lncRNA from 13 species